UACGUAGGGUGCGAGCGUUAAUCGGAAUUACUGGGCGUAAAGCGUGCGUAGGCGGUUCGUUAAGUUCGUUGUGAAAGCCCCGGGCUCAACCUGGGAAUGGCAAUGGAAACUGGCGGGCUGGAGUAUGGCAGAGGGGGGUGGAAUUCCGCGUGUAGCAGUGAAAUGCGUAGAGAUGUGGAGGAAUACCGAUGGCGAAGGCGGGUUGCUGGGCCGACACUGACGCUGAGGCGCGAAAGCCAGGGGAGCGAACGGG
rnacentral:rRNA from 1 species